rnacentral:lncRNA from 12 species
UUUCUGGAAUAUCACCAAGACUGUCUCAUCAGAAUUCAUUUCCCCUGCCAAAGCAUCCCAUAAGUGUGGGAGAGAUAAAACUGCAACACAGAAACAUAUGGGCAGAAGAUAAAAGGAGAUCAGUGAGCAGGAAAAUAUGUUUCUUAAAAUCUGUGCUGCAGUCAUUUUUCUUCUCAGUUUUGUUGUUUGUUUUGCCAUUAAGUGCCCAUAGCCAACAUUAAGGAUGUUUCUACACAACAGCAAAAGAAUAAAUUGAUUUUGACCAAAAAGAGUCAAUUCGGUUAAUCAAAUAACAACAACAACAGAGACAAAUGGAAAUAAAGCUGUUUGGUGUUUUAUAACAAAUUGGUUGAUAUGUUUGGGUGUCAUGAAGGCACAGCCCGGAUGACUAGUAACAACGAGCUUUGCACCAGACCAGUUCCCACGAUGAGAUUCAGCAAUGGGUCCAUGCCAUUAGGAAUGAAGAACAGCUCUGCAAAUUCAUUCUUAUCUGCCGAUCUCAGCGAUACUAUUAUUCUAACAACCAAACUGGGAAGAAGAUCUUAUUAUCCUUCUCUUGUACUUAUGAGGACCCUGAAGGUGGGUGAGAGUUAGUGAAUUCCCAUGGAUGAGUACAAAGAAAUGAUGGAAUCUGGUUCAAUCCAGGCUGUUCUACCUAGAGGAAGCAUUCUCCAUCCGUAGGGAGGUGGCACUGCCUUCCAUUCCUUCCAUUUCAGCAUGUAGAAGCUAGCUUGUCGAUGGCAGCAGAAGGAGGUAUUCUGAAACUGAUGGGGGGCCUUUAGCUUAAGUUACUAUCAUCAUUUGCCUUCUACUUAAAUGCUUAUUAUGUUAUAAGAAAGCUACUUUUUCCCUGAAGGUGGAAAAAAGAAUGUUAGAUCUUACUACAAAAUUACGUGAAUAAUUGUAAACAAAGAAAGAACAUUUGAGGUAGAGCCUUUGUCAAUGUAUUUUCUUCAACACAGCAGUAAGUCCACAAGUUGGGUUUAUGAUUUGCAACACCAGACAGUUAAAUUCAAUUAAAUUUUAUGUGGACAGAAAGAUAUUAUAUAUAAUAUAUAUUAUAUUGCAUUAUAUUGUAUAUUAUAUAUUGUAUUAUAUUUAUUAUAUCUAUUAUAUAUCACAUAGAAAAUUACACAAACAUGCAUUACUACAGUUCAAUGCAUCAAGGUCAAUCAAGGUAUCAAGUAAUUGAAGAUGUAUUUAUUACAGCCUAUCCUCCAUAUACUGAACUAAGUCCUGGCUGUCUAUCUAUCUAUCUAUCUAUCUAUCUAUCUAUCUAUCUAUCUAUCAUCUAUCUAUCUAUCAUCAUCUAUCUACCCCUACUUAUCUACUUAUCUAUAAUCAUUUUGGUUUAAAAUAUGAAAUAACUUCCUAACAGCUUGCAUGUACAAAUUUUGGCUUGGUGACUAAGAUAAUGAUAAAAAUUGUGUGCAUACUUAAAACUCUUUGUAUAAUCAACAUCUUACAAUUUUUCCCCUGUGUCCUCUGAUUUCUGUAACGGAGAAAUCACUGCAUUACAAUCCUACUUUCAUAUUAGCAAUAGUUCUCUGAGAUUAUGGAAUUAUAUGGUAACUGACUUAGAGUAUACAUCAAGAAGCUUAAUUAGCAAAAAAAAACUAAAUAACCUGAUGAAGAAAGUGAUAAGAACUAAAGUAGCUGUAGGGUAGUAGGUGUUUGACACUCUGAUUAAUUUGAACAUUCCCAAUUUACUUCUGUAGGUAUGGAUAAUUAAAGAUAAGCUGGGGGCAAAUUUUUUUAUCGUCUCAUUCUAAAUCAUCAUGAGGCAGGUCUCAUUAUUUCUAUUGUCCUUGUCUCCUGGUCCACUACACUUACCCUUCCUACUGUAAUCCUUACAGUUAACCAAAUCAUACUUGUAGGCUGAUAGAUCAACUUUAAGUUAUUUAAACAGAGGGUGGGGAGACAUAUUUUAAAGUAUCUGCUAGUUUUACAAUAAAAGUCCUUUUCAAUGGUUCCA